UGGGCUCGGUGCUUGGAGCUUUAUCGCUGCUUGGAGGUAGAGGUUACGCAUGAAAGCAAUUAUUGAGCUCCCACCUUGUGCUGAGUCCUGUGUCCGGGGAUAUAGGGGUGAGGAAGAGAGGCAAGGCACCGCCCUCGUGGAACUUGCAUUCUAGUAGGCUAAUAAACACGCAAAUGAACAAUAUACUUUCAAAUCGGGGUAGUGCAGCGAAGACAAUGCACCAGGGAGCUGUGAGGCGGCACCGUGACCAGCCCUGUGUGGGAAUGUCCUAAGUGCUGCCGAGGAGGCGGGACCAGUUAUCCUGGUGGUGGAGUGACGGGAGUGAAAGUGCUGCCUCAUAUGGUGAUUCCACAUUUGGCUUUUUGAGGAACUGUCAAACUGUUUUCCAUGAUGGCUGCACUAUUUGACAUUCUCACCAGCAACGUCUGAGGGUGGAAACCUUGAUUCUUAAAACCAAACAGGUGUCAGCUGCUUGCCAGGAAAUGGGCAGACUCUGGUGAACUGAUGAUACCGCUAUUUGGACAACUGUGAUCAGGCCAUCUAU
rnacentral:lncRNA from 1 species